rnacentral:rRNA from 1 species
AAAGAGUGGCGGACGGGUGAGUAACACGUGGGUAACCUGCCCAUAAGAGGGGGAUAACAUUCGGAAACGGAUGCUAAUACCGCAUACUUCUAAUCGCCUCCUGGCGAAUGGAAAAAAGGUGGCUUCGGCUACCGCUUAUGGAUGGACCCGCGGCGUAUUAGCUAGUUGGUGAGGUAAUGGCUCACCAAGGCGAUGAUACGUAGCCGACCUGAGAGGGUGAUCGGCCACACUGGGACUGAGACACGGCCCAGACUCCUACGGGAGGCAGCAGUAGGGAAUCUUCCGCAAUGGACGAAAGUCUGACGGAGCAAUGCCGCGUGAGUGAAGAAGGUUUUCGGAUCGUAAAACUCUGUUGUUAGAGAAGAACAAGGAUGAGAGUAACUGCUCAUCCCCUGACGGUAUCUAACCAGAAAGCCACGGCUAACUACGUGCCAGCAGCCGCGGUAAUACGUAGGUGGCAAGCGUUGUCCGGAUUUAUUGGGCGUAAAGCGAGCGCAGGCGGUUCUUUAAGUCUGAUGUGAAAGCCCCCGGCUCAACCGGGGAGGGUCAUUGGAAA